UACGUAGGGUGCAAGCGUUAAUCGGAAUUACUGGGCGUAAAGCGUGCGCAGGCGGUUUUGUAAGUCUGUCGUGAAAGCCCCGGGCUCAACCUGGGAAUUGCGAUGGAGACUGCAAGGCUUGAAUCUGGCAGAGGGGGGGUAGAAUUCCACGUGUAGCAGUGAAAUGCGUAGAGAUGUGGAGGAACACCGAUGGCGAAGGCAGCCCCCCUGGGCCAAUACUGACGCUCAUGCACGAAAGCGUGGGGAGCAAACAGG
rnacentral:rRNA from 1 species